rnacentral:rRNA from 1 species
UACGAAGGGGGCGAGCGUUGUUCGGAAUUACUGGGCGUAAAGGGCGCGCAGGCGGCUCUGAAAGUCGGGUGUGAAAGCCCUCGGCUCAACCGAGGAAGUGCGCCCGAAACUGCAGAGCUUGAGUACCGGAGAGGGUGGCGGAAUUCCCCAAGUAGAGGUGAAAUUCGUAGAUAUGGGGAGGAACACCGGUGGCGAAGGCGGCCACCUGGACGGAUACUGACGCUGAGGAGCGAAAGCCAGGGGAGCAAACGGG